UACGUAGGGGUCGAGCGUUGUCCGGAGUUACUGGGCGUAAAGCGCAUGCAGGCGGCUCAUUACGCAUGGCGUGAAAGCCCCCGGCUCAACCGGGGAGGGUCGUCGUGAACGGGUGAGCUUGAGGGUAUCAGGGGCUGGUGGAAUUCCCGGUGUAGUGGUGAAAUGCGCAGAUAUCAGGAGGAACACCGGUGGCGAAGGCGGAUCUCUGGGCCAUUACUGACGCUGAGGAGCGAAAGCGUGGGGAGCAAACAGGAUUAGAUACCCCGGUAGU
rnacentral:rRNA from 1 species